rnacentral:rRNA from 1 species
UACAGAGGUCUCGAGCGUUAGGCGGAAUCACUGGGCUUAAAGCGUAUGUAGGCGGAUCGUUAAGUGCCUUGUGAAAUCCCACGGCUCAACCGUGGAACUGCUUGGCAUACUGGCGGUCUUGAGCAACCUAGGGGCGAGCGGAACAAAUGGUGGAGCGGUGAAAUGCGUAGAUAUCAUUUGGAACGCCAAUGGUGAAAACAGCUCGCUGGGGGUUUGCUGACGCUGAGACACGAAAGCCAGGGGAGCAAACGGG